AGAGUUUGAUCAUGGCUCAGAUUGAACGCUGGCGGCAGGCCUAACACAUGCAAGUCGAGCGGUAGCACAGAGAGCUUGCUCUCGGGUGACGAGCGGCGGACGGGUGAGUAAUGUCUGGGAAACUGCCUGAUGGAGGGGGAUAACUACUGGAAACGGUAGCUAAUACCGCAUAACGUCGCAAGACCAAAGUGGGGGACCUUCGGGCCUCAUGCCAUCAGAUGUGCCCAGAUGGGAUUAGCUAGUAGGUGGGGUAACGGCUCACCUAGGCGACGAUCCCUAGCUGGUCUGAGAGGAUGACCAGCCACACUGGAACUGAGACACGGUCCAGACUCCUACGGGAGGCAGCAGUGGGGAAUAUUGCACAAUGGGCGCAAGCCUGAUGCAGCCAUGCCGCGUGUGUGAAGAAGGCCUUCGGGUUGUAAAGCACUUUCAGCGGGGAGGAAGGCGAUAAGGUUAAUAACCUUGUCGAUUGACGUUACCCGCAGAAGAAGCACCGGCUAACUCCGUGCCAGCAGCCGCGGUAAUACGGAGGGUGCAAGCGUUAAUCGGAAUUACUGGGCGUAAAGCGCACGCAGGCGGUCUGUCAAGUCGGAUGUGAAAUCCCCGGGCUCAACCUGGGAACUGCAUUCGAAACUGGCAGGCUAGAGUCUUGUAGAGGGGGGUAGAAUUCCAGGUGUAGCGGUGAAAUGCGUAGAGAUCUGGAGGAAUACCGGUGGCGAAGGCGGCCCCCUGGACAAAGACUGACGCUCAGGUGCGAAAGCGUGGGGAGCAAACAGGAUUAGAUACCCUGGUAGUCCACGCCGUAAACGAUGUCGAUUUGGAGGUUGUGCCCUUGAGGCGUGGCUUCCGGAGCUAACGCGUUAAAUCGACCGCCUGGGGAGUACGGCCGCAAGGUUAAAACUCAAAUGAAUUGACGGGGGCCCGCACAAGCGGUGGAGCAUGUGGUUUAAUUCGAUGCAACGCGAAGAACCUUACCUGGUCUUGACAUCCACAGAACUUUCCAGAGAUGGAUUGGUGCCUUCGGGAACUGUGAGACAGGUGCUGCAUGGCUGUCGUCAGCUCGUGUUGUGAAAUGUUGGGUUAAGUCCCGCAACGAGCGCAACCCUUAUCCUUUGUUGCCAGCGGUCCGGCCGGGAACUCAAAGGAGACUGCCAGUGAUAAACUGGAGGAAGGUGGGGAUGACGUCAAGUCAUCAUGGCCCUUACGACCAGGGCUACACACGUGCUACAAUGGCAUAUACAAAGAGAAGCGACCUCGCGAGAGCAAGCGGACCUCAUAAAGUAUGUCGUAGUCCGGAUUGGAGUCUGCAACUCGACUCCAUGAAGUCGGAAUCGCUAGUA
rnacentral:rRNA from 1 species